UUUCCGUAGGUGAACCUGCGGAAGGAUCAUUAUCAAACAGCGGCCUUCGGGCCUUGCUGCACCCUUGUCUUUUGCGUACCGUAUGUUUCCUCGGCGGGCUUGCCUGCCGAUUGGACAAAACUUAAACCCUUUGUAGUUGCAAUCAGCGUCUGAAAAAACUUAAUAGUUACAACUUUCAACAACGGAUCUCUUGGUUCUGGCAUCGAUGAAGAACGCAGC
rnacentral:misc_RNA from 1 species